rnacentral:lncRNA from 1 species
AUCUUCGACACUGGAACAAAUCCAGGGAUGGAGUCCGGGAUUUCCUGCGGCUUCGGCGCUUUCUGACCUGGCGCGACUGCCGACUUCUCGGCACUACUCAGGUCUCUGGCUCCCUGUCUGUAGUGGUGAAUCGAGCCUUCCUCAUGGCAGUCCAGGCUCCCCAAGCCCCGAGUCCUAGUGAUCGGGGACAAACCCUUCCUUGAACAUUCUUCACUGCUAGCCGCUGCUGAUCUGUACUGCCUGGGGGAGCAUUUCUAUAGCGCCCGCAAAAAUACAAUAAAGCUCACCCAAGGAAAUAACCAUGGAUUUUCACUCCUAGGUGUGUUUGGAAUCGACUGGGCUUUUAAAAUUUAUGUUAGUAGGCAAUUUAAAACAAUUACUUAUUUGAAAUCAGAAGCGCAAUGGGCACAACUUCACCUCAAGAUCCCAGAGGAAGAGGAGCCAUCUUUCCCAGUGACUUUAGCAGAAAAGUCCCUGAGUCAGUCACUGUGCCCACUGGAAGACAAAUGGAGACUCACCAAGCUUUGGUCAUGAACUCACUGGGACUGCAAGAGACUGGGUCAGCCCCACCAAAAUAAUGCAGAAGGGAAAUACGUGGUUUUUCAAAGGAAAGGUGGGAAAAACCAGUCCGAUAAAUGUGUUUUCCUUUUGGUCACACAUAUCAUAUACAAUAUGUGCUCAUUUUAUAAAAUUACCGCCCACUACAUUUUAAAAAGGAUAUAUUGACAAUGUACUAUUAAUUCUUGCUUUAUAGAGAUGAUAGAUAGAUGAUAGAUAAUAGAUUAGAUGAUAGAGAUAGACUAGAUAGAUAGAUAGAUAGAUAGAUAGAUAGAUAGAUAGAUAGAUAGAUAGAUAAGGACAUCAGUGAUAGGGUCAAUAUAGGCCUGGGUGCUGGAGCUACAAAGAUGAGUGAGGCCUGGGGUUUCUCACCUCAUGAAACUUAGGGGAAAACUUAAAUAAAUAAGUAAACAAACAUUACAAAACAGUGUAAUUAUCACUAACAGAUUUGAUAUCAGAAAAUACUUUUGCACAAAGGAAUAAAAUUCUUUAAAGUAUUAUUUCUUUCCUUGUUUGGCUUUUGAGGGUACAAAUGUAAAUGACAAAUAUGCUGGAUUGGGAGUCAGUAAGCUUUGGGCAACCUCUACCUCUGUGGCCUUAAGCAUGGACAAAAAUGACCACUUUGGUUCUCAGUUUUCACUCGUGGAAAAUGAGAAGGUUGAAGUAUAUGAUCCCCUAGAUUCCUCUAAGUUAAAAAUUCUGAAUAUUUGCAUGCAUGAGAUUAUAGUAAUCAAUGGUGACUUCCUUGGAAUUCUUCAUACGUCAGGAUGUAUAUAAACUGAAAAGCCACUAGAUGUCACGCUUGUCACAGAUUUUUGCUAUUCAAGUUUUUUUUUUUUUUUUUUUUUUUUUUUUUUUGGUAAAUAUCAAGAUCUGGGAGUUGAGCAGGACUUUAAAAACUGUAUUUGUUCAAUCAUGGCUGUUAAUUAAAAAAAAAAACUAUUUGGAUUAGAUAGAUCAAAUUACUUAGCUAAAUUCACACAGCUAGCUAGCAUUAAUACCAGACCUCCUGAUUUCUAUUCCAAUGGAGCCGUCUCUUUUUAAAAUGAAUGAUGUUUGAAAUGAUGUUUUUACAUCAGCUAUCAACUUUGGUAAUGAUAAUUUUUUCUUUUUCUUCUUGAGCUAUCACUCAAAGUAAUUUGGGGAACCAAUUGUUCAAAAAUUCUGUGAUUCAAUAUAAUAUCAAUAACAAUAGAUAAAAAGUAGUUAUUACUCAUAGAUUACUAGACUGCCUUGAAACCCUGUUUGAAGAUAAUUUACAGGAUGCUGUAAGAAAUUGAGUAGAUGUGAAUAAAAGUGGAAAUUAAAGUUCACACACACCUAGCUUAUCUGAAUUUCGGACUUUGAGAAUUUCAGGUUUUCUUUUCUUAAGAUGGCCCUGGAUGGAAAAUAAGUUUUUUUAAAACAGCUUUCUUUGAGAAGUGAAAUAACUUUUAGGUUUCUGAACCAAACUAAUUAACAUUAAUUUUUAUGUAAUCCCUUGAACUUUAUCUAACAUGCAGUUUUUAAUAAACGUGGUUCUCUAAUUUAUGAUUCCUAAUACUUAGUUGUGCAAGAGGAUUUGAGACAGAAACAGGGCUGUAAGAGGCAGAAUUGCAGCAGAUAGCCUGAUGAGAGGGGAGGAUUGCUAGACUCCAAGAAACAAAACUAAUCUACAUCAUUGCAAAAUAGCAGAUGUUUCUAAUUACAACCUUGUGUCUUCAAGAACCGGUUAAAUUAUAUCGACAGUCCUUUGUGACAUAAAGCUUUUUGAGAAGGAUUUUCUACAAAAUGGUCAAAAUGAAGCCUUGGUGUCCAAAAUCUGUUAAAUAUUGCUUAUAUAGGGAAGUCAUUUAUGUAAUUCUUAUAACUGUGAAGUUACAAUAAAUCCUUUUUCCAGAGUGAGGGUAAUGUUGGAUUAUGGAUAUAAAUAGUGAGCCUGUUAAUACUGGCUCUGCUGCCUCAGUAAACUGAGAAGAAUAAUACUAC